rnacentral:rRNA from 1 species
GAUGAACGCUGGCGGCGUGCCUAAUACAUGCAAGUCGAGCGAACGGACGAGAAGCUUGCUUCUCUGAUGUUAGCGGCGGACGGGUGAGUAACACGUGGAUAACCUACCUAUAAGACUGGGAUAACUUCGGGAAACCGGAGCUAAUACCGGAUAAUAUUUUGAACCGCAUGGUUCAAAAGUGAAAGACGGUCUUGCUGUCACUUAUAGAUGGAUCCGCGCUGCAUUAGCUAGUUGGUAAGGUAACGGCUUACCAAGGCAACGAUGCAUAGCCGACCUGAGAGGGUGAUCGGCACACUGGAACUGAGACACGGUCCAGACUCCUACGGGAGGCAGCAGUAGGGAAUCUUCCGCAAUGGGCGAAAGCCUGACGGAGCAACGCCGCGUGAGUGAUGAAGGUCUUCGGAUCGUAAAACUCUGUUAUUAGGGAAGAACAUAUGUGUAAGUAACUGUGCACAUCUUGACGGUACCUAAUCAGAAAGCCACGGCUAACUACGUG